rnacentral:misc_RNA from 1 species
UUAAGUUCAGCGGGUAAUCCUGCCUGAUCUGAGGUCUAAUCUAAAGUUGACUAAAGUAGUUGGAAGCUUCUACUGAGAUCUCAUUCGGCCACACUACAAGAGCGUGUCCUCAGCGAAUAGUCUAUUACACUGAGUCAAUCCGAGUUCGAAUUAGAGAUGCUAAUAUAUUACGAACGAGCUAGAUCCGAAGACCAGCAACG